rnacentral:rRNA from 1 species
GAUGAACGCUGGCGGCGUGCCUAAUACAUGCCAGUCGAGCGAACGGACGAGAGGCUUGCUUUUCUGAUGUUAGCGGCGGACGGGUGAGUAACACGUGGAUAACCUACCUAUAAGACUGGGAUAACUUCGGGAAACCGGAGCUAAUACCGGAUAAUAUUUUGAACCGCAUGGUUCAAAAGUGAAAGACGGUCUUGCUGUCACUUAUAGAUGGAUCCGCGCUGCAUUAGCUAGUUGGUAAGGUAACGGCUUACCAAGGCAACGAUGCAUAGCCGACCUGAGAGGGUGAUCGGCCACACUGGAACUGAGACACGGUCCAGACUCCUACGGGAGGCAGCAGUAGGGAAUCUUCCGCAAUGGGCGAAAGCCUGACGGAGCAACGCCGCGUGAGUGAUGAAGGUCUUCGGAUCGUAAAACUCUGUUAUUAGGGAAGAACAUAUGUGUAAGUAACUGUGCACAUCUUGACGGUACCUAAUCAGAAAGCCACGGCUAACUACGUG